rnacentral:rRNA from 1 species
GAUGAACGCUGGCGGCGUGCCUAAUACAUGCAAGUCGAGCGAACGGACGAGAAGCUUGCUUCUCUGAUGUUAGCGGCGGACGGGUGAGUAACACGUGGAUAACCUACCUAUAAGACUGGGAUAACUUCGGGAAACCGGAGCUAAUACCGGAUGAUAUUUUGAACCGCAUGGUUCAAAAGUGAAAGACGGUCUUGCUGUCACUUAUAGAUGGAUCCGCGCUGCAUUAGCUAGUUGGUAAGGUAACGGCUUACCAAGGCAACGAUGCAUAGCCGACCUGAGAGGGUGAUCGGCCACACUGGAACUGAGACACGGCCCAGACUCCUACGGGAGGCAGCAGUAGGGAAUCUUCCGCAAUGGGCGAAAGCCUGACGGAGCAACGCCGCGUGAGUGAUGAAGGUCUUCGGAUCGUAAAACUCUGUUAUUAGGGAAGAACAUAUGAGUAAGUAACUGUGCACAUCUUGACGGUACCUAAUCAGAAAGCCACGGCUAACUACGUG